CUGCUCAGUAACACGUGGACAACCUACCCUUGGGUCCGGCAUAAUCCUGGGAAACUGGGAAUAAUUCCGGAUAGGUCACCGAUGCUGGAAUGCGCGGUGGCCGAAAGCUCCGGCGCCCGAGGAUGGGUCUGCGGCCUAUCAGGGUUGUAGUGGGUGUAACGUACCUACUAGCCUACGACGGGUACGGGUUGUGAGAGCAAGAGCCCGGAGAUGGAUUCUGAGACACGAAUCCAGGCCCUACGGGGUGCAGCAGGCGCGAAAACUUUACAAUGCGGGAAACCGUGAUAAGGGGAUCUCGAGUGCCAGCAUAUAAUGUUGGCUGUCCAGAUGCCUAAAAAGCAUCUGUUAGCAAGGGCCGGGCAAGACCGGUGCCAGCCGCCGCGGUAACACCGGCGGCCCGAGUGGUAACCGCUAUUAUUGGGUCUAAAGGGUCUGUAGCCGGCCAGGUAAGUCCCUUGGGAAAUCUGGCAGCUCAACUGUCAGGCUGCUAGGGGAUACUGUUUGGCUUGGGACCGGGAGAGGUGAGAGGUACCUUGGGGGUAGGGGUGAAAUCUUGUGAUCCUCGAGGGACCACCAGUGGCGAAGGCGUCACACCAGAACGGGUCCGACGGUAAGGGACGAAAGCUAGGGGCACGAACCGGAUUAGAUACCCGGGUAGUCCUAGCCGCAAACGAUGCUCGCUAGGUGUCAGUCACGGUGCGACCGUGAUUGGUGCCGUAGGGAAGCCGUGAAGCGAGCCACCUGGGAAGUAUGGCCGCAAGGCUGAAACUUAA
rnacentral:rRNA from 1 species